AGUUCAGGAGUCAGGAAGAUAUGGAAGAAGGGGGUAAUUUAGUGCAGAAUGACAGCAUUUGAUUCCUUAAGGUGAAAAGAUAGCUGCCCCCAGAUGGUUUUCAAAAUCUCAUUAGAAGGAAAAGGUGACAGGUGACAGGCUGCACCACAACUCUGUCUCUGGUGAGUCACAGUUUUACAGUUAACACACUACUGAUCCGUGGAAGAAAUGGAGAGUUACAUGAGUCCAGAUAUUUUGAACUUCAUCAAUUGUAUAGCUGGCUCUAAUGAUUUGAUCUUUAAGGUAAAUUUCUUCCUUUCUGGGACAUUGCAACAUCAGUUCAUCUUUCUCAUCACUGUGGCAGCAGAACUCAAAUAAGGAAUAAUUGGUUUAGAAUAAAAGUUCAGAGGAGGAAGCCACUGUGGACAAAAGAAGACACACA